rnacentral:lncRNA from 1 species
CAAUGAUCAUUACAAUUUGUGCCUAAAUCAGUUACCAAAAGGAAAAAAGGAAGAGCCUCAUAUCCUUACAUAGAAUAACAAAUUAGGAUGGCUUAGCCCACUGGAACUGCUACAAUGUAACAAACAAAUCUGAACAUAAGAUUUUCACUCCCACAAGAAGAACUGAAGGCAACCAGGAAAGGUAUUUCCAUACGGCUUGUUACAGGAUGUUUCCUUCCAGUGCAUUAAUUAUUUUACUAGAGAAAACAUAUUGACAACUAACUCUACCAAGCAUACUGCACCAGCCUGAUGGAAAUAUUUUGGUAUAUGGGAACGAGU